GAUGAACGCUGGCGGCGUGCCUAAUACAUGCAAGUCGAGCGAACGGACGAGAAGCUUGCUUUUCUGAUGUUAGCGGCGGACGGGUGAGUAACACGUGGAUAACCUACCUAUAAGACUGGGAUAACUUCGGGAAACCGGAGCUAAUACCGGAUAAUAUUUUGAACCGCAUGGUUCAUAAGUGAAAGACGGCCUUGCUGUCACUUAUAGAUGGAUCCGCGCUGCAUUAGCUAGUUGGUAAGGUAACGGCUUACCAAGGCAACGAUGCAUAGCCGACCUGAGAGGGUGAUCGGCCACACUGGAACUGAGACACGGUCCAGACUCCUACGGGAGGCAGCAGUAGGGAAUCUUCCGCAAUGGGCGAAAGCCUGACGGAGCAACGCCGCGUAAGUGAUGAAGGUCUUCGGAUCGUAAAACUCUGUUAUUAGGGAAGAACAUAUGUGUAAGUAACUGUGCACAUCUUGACGGUACCUAAUCAGAAAGCCACGGCUAACUACGUG
rnacentral:rRNA from 1 species